rnacentral:rRNA from 1 species
AGUGAUCCUACGGGAGGCAGCAGUGGGGAAUAUUGCACAAUGGGCGAAAGCCUGAUNCAGCAANGCCGCGUGAGCGAUGAAGGCCUUCGGGUCGUAAAGCUCUGUCUUAUGGGAAGAUAAUGACGGUANCANAGGAGGAAGCCCCGGCUAACUACGUG